rnacentral:rRNA from 1 species
CCGAGUCUUAACUGGGCGUUAAGUUGCAGGGUAUAGACCCGAAACCCGGUGAUCUAGCCAUGGGCAGGUUGAAGGUUGGGUAACACUAACUGGAGGACCGAACCGACUAAUGUUGAAAAAUUAGCGGAUGACUUGUGGCUGGGGGUGAAAGGCCAAUCAAACCGGGAGAUAGCUGGUUCUCCCCGAAAGCUAUUUAGGUAGCGCCUCGUGAAUUCAUCUCCGGGGGUAGAGCACUGUUUCGGCAAGGGGGUCAUCCCGACUUACCAACCCGAUGCAAACUGCGAAUACCGGAGAAUGUUAUCACGGGAGACACACGGCGGGUGCUAACGUCCGUCGUGAAGAGGGAAACAACCCAGACCGCCAGCUAAGGUCCCAAAGUCAUGGUUAAGUGGGAAACGAUGUGGGAAGGCCCAGACAGCCAGGAUGUUGGCUUAGAAGCAGCCAUCAUUUAAAGAAAGCGUAAUAGCUCACUGGUCGAGUCGGCCUGCGCGGAAGAUGUAACGGGGCUAAACCAUGCACCGAAGCUGCGGCAGCGACGCUGAUGCGUUGUUGGGUAGGGGAGCGUUCUGUAAGCCUGUGAAGGUGUGCUGUGAGGCAUGCUGGAGGUAUCAGAAGUGCGAAUGCUGACAUAAGUAACGAUAAAGCGGGUGAAAAGCCCGCUCGCCGGAAGACCAAGGGUUCCUGUCCAACGUUAAUCGGGGCAGGGUGAGUCGACCCCUAAGGCGAGGCCGAAAGGCGUAGUCGAUGGGAAACAGGUUAAUAUUCCUGUACUUGGUGUUACUGCGAAGGGGGGACGGAGAAGGCUAUGUUGGCCGGGCGACGGUUGUCCCGGUU